rnacentral:rRNA from 1 species
UGGGGAAUUUUGGACAAUGGGCGAAAGCCUGAUCCAGCAAUGCCGCGUGUGUGAAGAAGGCCUUCGGGUUGUAAAGCACUUUUGUCCGGAAAGAAAUCCUUGGCUCUAAUACAGUCGGGGGAUGACGGUACCGGAGGAAUAAGCACCGGCUAACUACGUGCCAGCAGCCGCGGUAAUACGUAGGGUGCAAGCGUUAAUCGGAAUUACUGGGCGUAAAGCGUGCGCAGGCGGUUUGCUAAGACCGAUGUGAAAUCCCCGGGCUCAACCUGGGAACUGCAUUGGUGACUGGCAGGCUAGAGUAUGGCAGAGGGGGGUAGAAUUCCACGUGUAGCAGUGAAAUGCGUAGAGAUGUGGAGGAAUACCGAUGGCGAAGGCAGCCCCCUGGGCCAAUACUGACGCUCAUGCACGAAAAGCGUGGGGAGCAAACAGGAUUAGAUACCCUGGUAGUCCACGCCCUAAAACGAUGUCAACUAGUUGUUGGGGAUUCAUUUCCUAGUAACGUAGCUAACGCGUGAAGUUGACCGCCUGGGGAGUACGGUCGCAAGAUUAAAACUCAAAUGAAUUGACGGGGUCAUAGCUGUUUCCU